UACGAAGGGGGCUAGCGUUGUUCGGAAUCACUGGGCUUAAAGGGUGCGUAGGCGGGUCAGUAAGAGUGUCGUGAAAUCCCUCGGCUCAACCGGGGAACUGCGGCGCAGACUGCUGAUCUUGAGGAAGCUAGGGGUCGCUGGAACGCUCGGUGGAGCGGUGAAAUGCGUUGAUAUCGAGCGGAACGCCGAUGGUGAAGACAGGCGACUGGGGCUUUCCUGACGCUGAGGCACGAAAGCGUGGGGAUCAAACAGG
rnacentral:rRNA from 1 species